GACGAACGCUGGCGGCGUGCCUAAUACAUGCAAGUCGAACGCUUUUUCUUUCAUCGGAGCUUGCUCCACCGAAAGAAAAAGAGUGGCGAACGGGUGAGUAACACGUGGGUAACCUGCCCAUCAGAAGGGGAUAACACUUGGAAACAGGUGCUAAUACCGUAUAACACUAUUUUCCGCAUGGAAGAAAGUUGAAAGGCGCUUUUGACUCACUGAUGGAUGGACCCGCGGUGCAUUAGCUAGUUGGUGAGGUAACGGCUCACAAAGGCAACGAUGCAUAGCCGACCUGAGAGGGUGAUCGGCCACACUGGGACUGAGACACGGCCCAGACUCCUACGGGAGGCAGCAGUAGGGAAUCUUCGGCAAUGGACGAAAGUCUGACCGAGCAACGCCGCGUGAGUGAAGAAGGUUUUCGGAUCGUAAAACUCUGUUGUUAGAGAAGAACAAGGAUGAGAGUAAAAUGUUCAUCCCUUGACGGUAUCUAACCAGAAAGCCACGGCUAACUACGUGCCAGCCGCCGCCGUAA
rnacentral:rRNA from 1 species